AACGACUACAUUAGAUACCCCUGUAGUCCUAGCCGUAAACGAUACUCGCUAGGUGUCGGCCACGGUGCGACCGUUGUCGGUGCCGUAGGGAAGCCGUGAAGCGAGCCACCCGGGAAGUACGGCCGCAAGGCUGAAACUUAAAGGAAUUGGCGGGGGAGCACCACAACGGGUGGAGCUUGCGGUUUAAUUGGAUUCAACGCCGGAAAUCUUACCGGGACCGACAGCAACAUGAAGGCCAGGCUGAAGACUUUGCCGGAUUAGCUG
rnacentral:rRNA from 1 species